CGGAGAGUAGCUCAGUUUGGCCAGAGCGUCCCUUAGGGAAGGUCGCAAGUUCAAAUCUUGUCUCCCCGA
rnacentral:tRNA from 1 species